CCCAUACCCAUGCUAUUGGCCUCUGGGUGGAGUCUGUUUAUCAGUGCAGAGACACUCAGGCCUCUCCUCCUCCUUUAUCUCAGCUUCUCAGGGGAGGCAAAGGGAGGGAGUCUUCACUCCCCAAGCCAUCUUGCCCUUGGGUGGCUCCUCUUGUCCUGCUCUGUGCCCUUGCUCAUGGAGUUUCUUUAUUUCUGGAAUAUUCUUUCUUCACUCCUUUCUCCUAUGAUUGAAAUCUCCCGGAUCCUUCAAUUUGCAGGCAGAGGACUGCACAGCCAGGAGACCCUGAUCUGCUAAAUUAUUAGUCCUGUGACAAUAAACAAGCCACUUAAAUUCUCAAGCAGGCAAAAUAGGAUAGUCCCUCUCAUGGAACCUCAGCAGUAUUUCCUGCCUACAUCAGCACUGGGCGAUGGUGUGUGUGUUGGGAUGGAGGUAAGCACCCCCCGCCCCCGGCCAUGGUUAGUGAAGUGGAACACAGCUAACAUGCCUAUGGAGGCCAUAUUAUGGAGUAUCAUGAAAGUCAUGAAGAAAAGUCAGGACUUUGGGCAUUACAAAAGGAGAGAUUCAAGUCUUCUGAGGAAGAAUUUAACAUGAUGAAAAUUGCAGCUGUGGAAAGCUGGUAUGGUACUGGGGAUCUGGACUGAUUAAGAUGAGACAUGAGAGAUACAUUGGUAUACUUGGGUGGUACAGGAAUUAGGAAGUGACAGCUUGGCCCUGGGCGACCGUGCAGGGGAUGUAAAUACAUGGACAGAAAAACUUUAUGGAAGGAAAUGAAGUCACAGAAGCUGAUGGAGUUGGGGAGGAGGGAGCUAGUGUAACAGACACAGAUGGCCAUCAUAGCUUGUUUCUGGAUGACCAGGAGAAUGGUGAUGCCUGUGGUAGAAAGGGGGAUCAUGGUUAAGGGCUGCUAUAGGAAUCACCUUGAGACUGAAAUGAUGACUCGGGAUUUUAGAAGUUUUCUGUCUCUUUGGAUAUAAAUCAAUUGUACCUUCUCUUUUAUCUCCCCUUUCCCAGAUGAUCAACCUUGCACUUCUAGCUCCCUCGCACCUAUUCCCCUCCAUGUUUCUUUCCUCUGGGCUGAUGCUUCUCUAGGAAAAUGGUAGGAGGGACGAUUCAGAUUAGGUAAGAGCUGUUA